GACGAACGCUGGCGGCGUGCUUUACACAUGCAAGUCGAACGGAAAGGCCCUGCUUGCAGGGUACUCGAGUGGCGAACGGGUGAGUAACACGUGGGUGAUCUGCCCUGCACUUCGGGAUAAGCCUGGGAAACUGGGUCUAAUACCGGAUAGGAGCCAUUUUUAGUGUGAUGGUUGGAAAGUUUUUUCGGUGUAGGAUGAGCUCGCGGCCUAUCAGCUUGUUGGUGGGGUAAUGGCCUACCAAGGCGGCGACGGGUAGCCGGCCUGAGAGGGUGGACGGCCACAUUGGGACUGAGAUACGGCCCAGACUCCUACGGGAGGCAGCAGUGGGGAAUAUUGCACAAUGGGCGCAAGCCUGAUGCAGCGACGCCGCGUGGGGGAUGGCGGCCUUCGGGUUGUAAACUCCUUUCGCUAGGGACGAAGCUUUUUGUGACGGUACCUAGAUAAGAAGCACCGGCUAACUACGUG
rnacentral:rRNA from 1 species